AACGAACGCUGGCGGCAGGCUUAACACAUGCAAGUCGAACGCCCCGCAAGGGGCGUGGCAGACGGGUGAGUAACGCGUGGGAACAUACCCUUUUCUACGGAAUAGCUCUGGGAAACUGGAAUUAAUACCGUAUACGCCCUACGGGGGAAAGAGUGAUCGGGGAAGGAUUGGGCCGCGUUGGAUUAGCUGGUGGGUGGGGUCAAGGCCUACCAAGGCGACGAUCCAUAGCUGGUCUGAGAGGAUGAUCAGCCACAGUGGGACUGCGACACGGCCCACACCCCUACGGAAGGCUGCAGUGGGGUGUAUUGUGCGAUGGGCGCAGACCUGAUCCAGCCAUGCCGGGUAAGUGAUGCUUCCCUUAGGGUUGUAAAGCUCUUUCUCCGAUGGAGAUAAUGACGGUAGUCGGUGAAGAAGCCCCGGCUAACUUCGUG
rnacentral:rRNA from 1 species